ensembl:lncRNA PAX8-AS1 PAX8 antisense RNA 1
GGAAGGGGUGGAGCUAGAACUGGACACCUCGGGGGUUUCCUGCUUUAUGGCGAAGGACGGAGUUUUGCUCUUGUUGCCCAAGCUGGAGUGCAAUGGUGCGAUCUUCGCUUACUGCAACCUCUGCUUCCUGGGUUCAAGUGAUUCCCCUGCCUCAGCCUCCCGAGUAGCAGGGAUUACAGGAGUGAUGCUUCCCCCUCUGUGAAUGUGGCUUUGGGUAUGGCUAAUCCACACCCUGCACUCUGGCCUUCAGAAGCCCAGGGAGAGAAGCCUCCCAGAAGCAACCUUCCAGAACCUUCUCCAUCCUCCCACCGACCUCCCCAGCCCCUGUCCUCUCUUUGAAUCUCGUUGUCAAGUUCUUCCCGCAGACACCUGGCUCCUUGAGGGGAGGUGCAGCUUUCAUCUGACCAUGCAGGCGUGCUUUGCAGUGGGUAGAGCAGUGCUUUCCUCCUCCCAGCUGCACACUGGAAUCACCUGGAGAGUCCAGAAACUUCCCGCCUCAGUGAAAGAACAUCAGUGUAUCAGCACAGCAAAUAUUCCAAAUGCCAGGCUGGAUUCCCUCCAAUUACCAGGACCUCCAGGCUUCUCCUCCUUUCAAGAACUUUCUGACCCUGGAUCCAGUCUAAAUGUUGGUUAUAAACUCACCUGACAUCCACAGGGCCCUUCCAAAAUACUGUCAAGGCUGACUGCUGGUGCCUGGAACCUGCACACCCUCCUGGGACUCUGCAUCUCUGCUGGGGCUGGUUUCUCCUCUGAGCCACCUUAAGGAAUCCCACCCUGACCCGGUCAGAGCUCACCAUGCCUCCCUCUCCUACUUGCUCAGCAUUUUGUGUCUAUCUAGACUGAAGCCUUUGCUUUCUCUCUGUGAUUAUGGUGAAAGUUCAGUUUGCUUUCCUAUCUCUAGAAUGUCAGCACGAAGGCAGAGGCAUGGUCUCCUGAGUUCCAUAACCCCAAAGCCUAACUCCCUGCCUGCCACACUGAGGGGCUUAGUAGACAUUGACUUACUAAAUUGAAUAGUUGAGUAAUAAUGCUCUUUGAAAUAAUUUGGAGUUAGAUCUUGAGCCUUGUGUGGCCAGAGGAUGGGUGAGGACACAUCAUAAAAACUAAAGGUAACUGAGCAUGCCAGUGGUUGGGGUGAGAAAUUUGCAUGGAGCACUCCAGACACAGAGGCAGCAAAACCCAAGUGCUGGGAAGUCAGAGUGAGAGAGUGAAGGGGCAGUGAGUGCUUCUUUAGGAGCUGGAUCAAAACCUAAGAUGAUCUGGCCACAUGGUGCAGACUGAGCACACACUUGGGAGAGAAAUGGGCCAGGAGGAGAGGAGAGAGGUUCACCACAGGACAGUGGAUGACUGGGAAUAGAAGCCCUCCCCAUGGUGGACCAAGAAGUCUGUGAAGCUGAGAGAAAGACAAAAGAAAUCACGACUUCUGUAGGUAGCUGGGAUGGAAACCUCAGGGGUGACAGGGUCUUUAAAGGAAAUCUCAAGGAAGGCAUCAUGUUCUGGGUGUGCUCCAGGGAUGCUGAGUAAGAAAAGACCAGCCUUUCUGUGUGUGUCUUUACUCUGCCACAAGGCACCUGGGCUCCUAAAUGACCAAUACACAUGUGCUAUACUGGUGCCAAGAAAGAAGGGUGUUUUGUAGGAAAGUCAAGGUGAGAGGAGGUGCCCAGGACUUGGCUCCUUUCUUUGAAGGGUGACGGUGUAAAUUCUCCAUGCUGGGGAUCCUACUGAUGGAUGGAGGCAUGUCGAUCUCAUCAUUUCACAGAGUGGGGAGCUAUGGCCACAACGUGCCUAUCACACAAGUCCAGCCUCACGUCAGCUGGACACCAGCUGUUCUGACACUUGUCAGCACAUGGGGCACCCGGAAGUUCAUGGUGUUCUGCAAAGAACGCCACAAAACAGUGAGCUCAACUUCUUGAAAGUCAUAAUGUGUUGCUAAGUCCGAUCCCAGAUCCUAAAAAUAAUAUGAGGUAGUGGCCAUUGAACAGAAAAAAUUUACAUCUUAAACUUGAAGAUAAGUACAAGUGUACCUUUUUCUACCACUGUUGUUCAGUUUUAUUAUAUUGACAAGCACCUCUGCCCACCCUGUGGGGUAAAACUGUUUGAAAGUGUUUAUGAAAGUUUUAUAUAAAUAUUGGUUGAUCAAAUGUACAAAAUAUGCAUGAUGGCACCAUAUUGUGUAUAAUAGUGACAAAUACAGUCUAUGUGGGUGGAGAAACAAGCUCGGUGUUGUGCAUGCGGCUGUGGUUUGUGUUCACACUUCUCCUUUAGAGUGUAGUAGACAGAACAUGCCUGAACUGCCUGGGGCUGAGGGGUCUCAGGCGCAGAGUGGCCCAGGAAUUCUGAGCAAGGACAGAAUGUUAGAGAGAAUAUCCUGAGCUGAGCAGAGAGGCCUGCCCAUGCUAGCUGGCAGCCACCUGCCUUCAGUGCUUCAUUCUUGGGGGACCUUGAGGCCAGUUCUUGAGUGGAUGAGUCCUGCCGCUACUGCUGCUGCCCACUUGGUAGCUCUGUCCUCAUCUGGGAAGAGCCACUGUGAACCCCAGAGACCUAGUGGUGCUAGGGGCUGAUGCAGGCAAAUGACUGGCUGCCCCUGGAUCUUAUGUGAAAACAAGAAUGCUGGACCAAAAGGUCUCUACAGGGCUCCAUGACUACCCAUGACCCGUAACUUCAGUGAGGAGCUAGUGGCCAGGAGGGGCUCAUGGUUGGACACUGGUAUUCCUCUACUCAGACCUUAAACCACAGGUUGCAAGAACAGGGAGGUCACAUGUCAGUGACCUCAUGCCUAAAUAGAUGCAUAGCACAGAGCAGAUUCCUGGAUAGCUUACACCCUACUUUCCCCAGUGCAUCGAUUAUGACUUCCUUUCUAGCAACUGUGAGUACAGCCGGGACUCAUCAAUCACACCUGUAACUUCCCAGCUGCAUUUCUCAGGGUCUCUGAAAGCAGGGCCUUCUCUGGUCUUUUUAAAUUACCCACAGACCUAGGACAGUCUUCUGCACAUACUUCUACAUUUUAAAGGCUUACUUUUAGUAUGUUUAUGUGUGUGAGAUGGGGAAUAUUGUAUUCAUGUGUGCAUGUAUAUGUCUGUGAGUACUGUGGUCUGUGUGUGUAACUGGGUAUGACUGUGUGUGUCAUAUGGAUACAGGGGACUAGAAUGAGGACAGCCAGGUGUCCAGGCUAUAAGAUCUAAGGAGGCACUUGCUCUCAGGGCCAACCCUGCCCUUGCGUGAGCCUGAGAGAGAGAGCCUCCUGGAAUUUUGCACCUUGAGUGCCUUCCUGCUUCACCCUAAUCCCCCCGGUUGUCUGUAUGUUUGGAUGUGAGUGUUGUACAUAUGCUGUGUAUGUGUGUGCAUGCAUGUGAGUGUGCAUGGGUGUGUGUCUGUAUGUCUCAGCAGCUGUCACUGGGCUUCCCAGUCCCUGUCAGCAGGCGAAGGAGGCCCCUUCAUUUCCUUGGGUCCUGCUUAUGCAGCACAGGCCACAGCAAAGGCUCCCUGGGUUGGGUCAGCCCUCACUCUAACUCAACAUGCCCUGGAAGUCACCACAGGGUCAUGGAAAGAGUCCUGGUGAUGAGAUGGAGUGUCUGCUCUGCCACAAGGGCUGUGGGACCAGGGUCGGGGCAUACCUCUCUGGGUCUCAGUUUCCUCACUGGUAAGAUGUGGCAACAGAAUCUCAUCUGUGAGCCCCCUCUAGCCUUGAACAACUCUGGAUCCAGGUAGACCAGCAUAAUGAAAGCCUAUGAAGCUUCUGAGAUGUGCGAGGCAUACAUUGUCCCAGGUACUCAAGUAACUCAAGUCUGGAAGCUGCGAGCCACAGAGAUCAAGCCUUCUCCAAAAAUUGGACUGCAAGGCAUGCCGUACAAACAGAGUGCUAGGAGACCUUGGGGAGGUGGGGAAGAGGAAGAGGAAUCAUGGACAGCUUCAUGGGGAGGUGGCUUUGGAGCUGGGAUGGGUGAGGACAGCUGGAAUGUGGGCAGCACGUGACCAAGUGCUUUGCAGACAUGGCAUGGCCCCCAGCCAGGCCCUGAGGAAAGGAGAGUCUCAGGACAGCAGCUAUGUCACUGUAAGCAGGACCCUUGAAAGCAGGUGCCACCUGCAAAAGGGGGAGCCCUGAGGCCCAGGCAGGCCUGUCACAGUGUGGGGCACCUGUCUAGACAGCCCCAUGGCCAGCAGUGGGGGUGGGCCAUGGGCCAUGGGGACCUUCCUGGUAUGGGGUACUGCCAUGUCCCCAGGGAAUAUGGGGGGCCCAGGAAGGUCCCCAAGGCUCGAAGGACCCAGGUCUUUUCAUACUGCCAAAGAGAUGUAAGGCCUACAGAGGGGAAAGUUUGCAUAUCUGUGAAGGCAUGGAGCCUAGGCAUUGGAAGUGUCCAGUAAGCAUUUUCAUUUGGCAGAAGUAUCUCCAUGGCACUUCUACCUACAGCCCUGCCACAUUUUGCCACAAACUGUCCAGCAGCCCUGAGAUGGAGCCCCAGUGUAGACCGUCAUGGAGCACACUGGCUCUGGAACAAUGAGGAGCAGACUGGAGAAAGCCAGAUGGGGUUUACCUGUCAACAGCCACAACAUAGUUGUGCUGGGGUGACUGUUCAAGAAAAAUGAACUUUGGUGCUCCUGCCGAAUGGGUUGUUAGUGUUCAGUCCUUUUCCUACCACUGAGUUGUUUUGUCUGAUCAUUCUUCCUCCUGGUUCUGCGGGUCUGCCUUCUUGAAAGGGAAGAGCAAGACUCCAGCUCCCUGCCCUGUAGAGGUGCCUUCUACCUUGCUCAGUGUUGAAGCAAAGGAGCAAAGCAAAGCUUAAGUCAGAGAUUUGGUGCUCAGCUAAUCACAGAGACUUUUAAAUGUCAACCAGGGUUUGCUAUCAGGCCAAAGCUGGAUUAUUAUUACCCAAAGUAGAAAAUUGUGAGACAGAGGCAGGUGGGGAGGGAGGGAGAGAGAAGAAAGCAGAAGGUGGAGGAUACGUGGAUUUAAUUUUUUAAAAAUAAAUAUAUGAUUCCGUGUCAAUUAAAAACAAGUACCCCAGGCAAGUCUUCCUGCAGUCCUGUCUUAGCCGCACACACAGCAUAACUGCAAACCCACUUGAGCUCAUUUUUGCUCAAAGACCAACUCUAUUAAACCCUUAGAAUGUUCUGGAUUUCAACACACAGUCCACAGACAGCCAUUCUAUCAAAAGCUUAGUGUUUUCCCUAUGACUGGGUUUUCUGGUAAGGUGAACUAAGGCAUCCUUUUCCAUUUCAGGCUGUGGUAACAGCAGAUAACAGCCGCAGAGGUCAUAGCCAGCACUUUCUAUGCGUCCCUUCAUUUAAUCCCAGUACUCCUAGGUGGUAGAUCUAUUAUUUUGUCCACAUGAAUUAUUGAAAAGUCUGUCCUAAAUUUUAAAUGGAACGAAGUACUGGGUUGCAAGUUACUGGUGGCUGUUUCACAGGAAAUACUACGACAAUGGGACUUUGGGAAUGUGUUCUGGAGACUCCACUCCUUGGUGACUACUACAUGGAGCACAGAAAAUUGUCUUGAGUGGCAGCUAUGUGCCAGGUGAGGAGACAGGUUUUACUCACAUGACUCCCCAGAAGCCCUGCAGCAUCCCCAUAUUUUAUAAAGGGGAAGUACAAGCCCAGAGAGACAUCUGACUUGACUAAGUUCACACAAAAACAGCAAGGUCUGGGCCAAGAUGGAAGCCCGGGCUUUGCCUUCUUCUUCUGCCUGCAGGGCAGGGGCUUUCAUCCUGGCUUCACGCUGAUUUCAAAAGCCUCUCAUUCUCUUGACACCUCAUGGCCCCUGAGUUUAUCCCAAGAAUAAUAAGUUCUACUGUCCUCCUGGAGAUGCCGAAGAAUCAAAACUGCAACACACAGAGGGCCUGGGUGUGCGCGAACACUGUAGUACACACCGAUGACAGCAGAUUAAGCCAUUUCUCUCUUAGGUGCGUCACCCAACCAGCUCCUGGACCCUUCUGCUGUGCUGCCCUGACAGUCACAAUAUGUCCUAGUGGACUAAUUAGCACUAACUACCCAUGUCACCCCAAGGCCAUUUAAGAAGACAAAUAAAAAAGACAAAACCAAUGAGUAUUGUGGCUGAAGAUGACGAAAAAAAGUUAAAAGCAGGGAGGAAUGAAUUAUUUUUUCUUUCUCAAUCUCUCCCUCUGCUUAAACCAAAGAGAGGUUUUCAUCUGAGAGCCCGGGAGCUAAGCAGCUACUUUCUACAUGAAAAAGUGAAAACAUUAAAAUAAAAUCCCUUUCUUUCAAGCUAACGUUCUAAAACUGAACCUCUGCAGAGGCUCCAAAAGAGAAAUGCCUUGCUUUUAAGCCCCUGAGUGAGAGGGAUCCUGAGGAAGUGGCAGAGGGGAUGAACCUAAGCUUUGGGACAUAACAACCGGCACCUCCAGUGGCCACCACUCCUAGCUAUGCUGCCUGUGGAUGGGGCCCCCAGUGCUGGCCCCUAACAGCAUGGGGAAGCCUCCCCAGCCACUCUGAAGCUGUUCGCAUCACAUCCAAGAUGAACCUAGGCAGGGAGGCUGAGUGUGCUUGGGAGAUGCCAAGUUAGGGAAGUAAGUUCCCCAGGGUCCUUCAACUUGUGGUGCCUGAGGAUAGCUGCUUUUUUUCCAGUGCAGAUGGAGACACGGCAGCCUUGGGGGGAUGUGUGAAAGUAAGGCCUCCCUCCCUCUGCCUUUCCAAGUGGCUGAUCAUCUCCUUCCUUCUCAUAGCUACUUCUAGGAGAGGCAUCCAGGCAGGAACCACUUCUCCAUUUCACAGAUGGGAAGACUGAGAACCAUACUGGAAAGGGGUGUAUUUUAAUUAAACUGGAGAGUGGGGAACACUGAUGAGGAAAGCAAGCUGAUAGACGGAAGGCUCUGCCUGUCACUGCCAGCACGGGCACUUGGGCCUUCUUAUCAAGGGUUCUGAUGGGAGUUUCCACUAGGAUUCCAGGUGUCGAUCAUCUAGUAGCCGAGUUCUGAUGAGCUGGACUUUGGGUGGUUGAGGUAGGGAGCAGUGGAAAGGGGAAUUGGAGUCUUAUCAACCUCUUUGAACACCAGUUCCUUCCCCUCUCUUCUAUAAAAAUGUCGUAGCAAUACCUGCCUGGCAGAGUUGUGAGAAUUAAAUGAGAUGAUGAAUACAUCUGCUCUCAGCACCACACCACACCUGUGGCAGUCCUCAGAGAGAAGAAUCACAGCUUUCAUUCAUUGAGAGCUCACUAAGUGCCAGGUAUGCUCAGCUCUUGUGCAGACGUUCUUUUUCUUUGGAUGUAAAUGUGACAUGGGCAGAGCAGGAGGAGCUGUGAGGCUGGCUUGGCUGAGCCACAGGGAUUGCUGGCAUCUUAUAUGGCAUUCAGGACUAUGGAGGGUCCACGGGAAGAAACACAGAAACAGAACCCAAGUAUCCUUCGGGGACUCUUGGACUUUCUUCCCCUUGAUCUUAGACAUGCCUCAGUAAACAGAUGCUGGUUUCUAUCGAGACUCAUUCCUGGGGAAGGACCCCCACCAGCCAAGCAAGGUAAAGCCCAGACUCAGUUACAUGAAUUACAGGUUUAAGACAGAAGCCUUCCUAUGAAUAUUUUUCUGGCCAGUGGCUUAUAUAAGAGAAAUUUGCUCAUUGUAUUUCUAUCUGGCCAACGAAGGGGUCUAGAGGGGCUUUCAGCAACCCAAACAGUCUUGUCAGCCCUAACUCUGGACCUAAGGAAAUAAUUAUGAAUCCUCAAGAUCCAUUUAAAAGUGUCAUUACUGUAGAUAAACAAAGACGAGUGGAUGCUUCUUCCUACUCCACCUCACUGCAGAGAUUCCAUCCAUCCCAGGGUCACUGACCACUGACUGGAUGAACUAGGAUUGGUGUGGCAGAGUGGAGUUUUCAGGAGCCAAGAGACUCCUGGAUUGUCAUGCUCUGUACUCCUUCCCCACGAAAGGAAUGUCUAGAACUCCUGCUGAAAGUAGUCAUUGCCUGCAUUUCCUAGGCAGAAUGUGUUAGCUCCCUCCCCAGAAGAACCUGGGCGAAGAAGGUGUUCCAAUCUGCAUUUGGAAAGAAUCCCUCCCGCAAAGAACUCUACACCCUCUAAGAGAAGAUAACGUGAGGGCAUAUUCUCCUCUCUUAGAGGGUGUUUUCAAUACUAAAUUCUAUCUCUGAAGAGAAUGAGGACCCGAAGGGGGGCAGUGCACCA